ensembl:antisense Gm15657 predicted gene 15657
CUGUUAUUACGGAAGGAGAAACCACAGCUAGUAACCGACUACACUGUAUUUGGAUCCCUGCCUACCAAGCUCUGAAGUGUGGAGCCUGCUCCUGUACCCUGCUGGGGGAAUUCUCUGGCCCAAGUCUCCUUUCUACACCUCUAAGAAGGCAUUUCUUCUUCAUGGUGACUCCAGAAAAUCACGUAGAUCUUAUCAGUUCUAAUUGGGACCUGAAGACUUGGCCACAGCACCCAGGCUUGGCAGAGGAGAUCUGGUCUGACUCUCUGAUGAUCACAGGAACAGAUCUAGAUCCAGCUUGCUAACCUCAUCCUUGCACGACUGAGUCAUCUUUAUCCAACUUCAGACAAACCUCUGCCCUGCUGUCCCAAUGUCAGCCAUAGACUUCUUUUGCCUCUGCUGUCUUGGGGGGUCACAGAUGAAAAUGUCAGCGUCUCCGAGCUGAGCUAGUCAAGAAAUGGCCCCAAGUCAAGACUAGCAGUCACUUUAAAAAGUUGUAGGAUCAAGCCUGCUGUUUCUGUUUCAGAGACUACGAUACCAAUUCAAGUUAUCAAGUUACAGAAGCAACCACAAAAUAACAAAAAAGGAGUUUCUUACCCACGGUCACCAAAAGGAGACUGAGAGAGAGAAGCAGGAAGCCUUUCAUGGUAGCUGCUCUUGCUUGAUAAUCCAAGGAGGAAAUGUGUCCUCUCCUUCGCUGCCUGGAGUUUUAACUGUCUUUCAAGUCCGAAGUCCACUCAUUAACUGAUAGAGGCAAAGGCAAUUCGUGGUCAGGAUCUGG